CACGGGUGAGUAACACGUAUCCAACCUGCCGUCUACUCUUGGCCAGCCUUCUGAAAGGAAGAUUAAUCCAGGAUGGCAUCAUGAGUUCACAUGUCCGCAUGAUUAAAGGUAUUUUCCGGUAGACGAUGGGGAUGCGUUCCAUUAGAUAGUAGGCGGGGUAACGGCCCACCUAGUCAACGAUGGAUAGGGGUUCUGAGAGGAAGGUCCUCCACAUUGGAACUGAGACACGGUCCAA
rnacentral:rRNA from 1 species